GGUUUGUUUUUUUUUUUAAUAAGUGGUUGAUUUAUUUAUUUGGAUGAGGUUAUUGUUCUUAAAACUAUUAAUCUGGAUAAAGUUUCAUUUGGUGAAUAUGUAGUUCUUUUCCUUAGUAAAACCUACAGGACAUAGAGAUCUGAAUUUCCUUAAGUUUUCUAAGCUAUGAAAAAUCUUCAUUCUUACACCGCUUAACUAUGGCAACAAAAAGUGAAAGAUGGAUAAAAAWCCAAAAGAUAAAUUGUCUACUAUACUGUGGAAAUCCAUGGCUUGGGAAAGAUACUAAAUGAMCAUGAGGAAAAUAYGUGYUUUUUAAUGKUGGCUGAUUUUUCAUGUGGCCUAGGCAUAACUACAUGGAGUUAUAGGGAAUGUAAAGAAUCUUUAGAUUCUGACAGUGAUGAUUUAGAAGACAAAGGUUGCAGAUCCAGUGGGAGUCAGGCAUAGUCAGCCUCACUACUUUUAUAACAACCUUGUUUAUUACUACAAAAUAGUUCAUUUUGAAGGGGUAGCUAGAUAGUAGGUAAAAUUAGGAAUACAAUUCUUCUAUAUUGUCAUCCUAUGUAUUUCAAGGAGAGCAUUGUAUGUGACCUCUGAUGUUGAAAUUUCUUUACACACCGUUAGUAGGAAUACAAAGUCUUUAAAAAAAUGGUAACUUAUGACAUGAAUUUAGCCGUUUUCCUAGAAAAGAAAAAUAGAAAAGAAACCUAAAUGCAUAAYCAUGUUAAUACAUGACUUCCUGUUCUGAAAACAGGAUCUGAAACAUCUGAAAACAGAAUUAAAUCUUUGCCAGUGUGGACWCUGUAUGAUACCUAGAUGGAAAUAUAAAACAUGAAUCCUUUUAGAGAAAAAGAAUGGUAAUUCAUAUGUAAUGCUCWGUAUUUUAACUCUCUGAUAAAGUCUGAGAUUUUAUAGGUUGCAAUUAUUAAGGUGAUUUAGGGAGCUGACAAAGUAGCAUAAAAUUAUCUUGSUCACAGAUGUGCUCUAAGAUCAGUGUCUUCUUACUAGUGCACAGAGAGCACAGCAUUAGCCUAAAUGCUAAUCUGGUAAAUAUACCUUAUUAUUCCUUAAAUGCUUUAAAUAUGUGAUAAAUACUGGAUACAGAACUGGAGAUGUACUUGUUUCAUUUUAAUGCUACAUCUAUCGAUUUGAAGGUUAAGCUACUUAACAGAAUGAUCUGAAUAUACUAUAUCUGGCCUUAUUCAUUUUGUCACUGCUUAACUUAUAGUUCAUUCUGUGUUUUGMUUGAUUUUAAGUAAAUUUUACCCUACCUGCUGUGUUAAAGCCUUAAGAUUGUCAGUGCCUCAUGAGAAAUCAGAAGUUUCUGUUUGUGCGCUUGUAGGCCUGCUUGAGGAUUCUCUUUAAUUAAGCCACGUAAAUGUGCUUUACCAUUCAAAAUCUGGCAUGAUGAAACCCUGGUCCUGCCUGGGCUGUGUUCAUACAAGCCUGAUACAGACACUGCUAGAAGGGUUCUGUUUGUUUGUUUGCUUGUUUGUUUUAUAGCAUAGGUGUUUUUGAGACUUAGAUGGUUUUUGUUCAGACGGAAUACUAAAAAAAGUGUGGAACAUCAGAGAGCAGAAGGAGCAGCAAGCUUCCUUACUUUGCGGGUUAUACUGACCUGUGAGGCUUUCAGUCAGCCAGUUGCUUAAAUGUCAGUGGUAUCUGCGGCAUAAUUCCACUGCUAAGACAUUUGUCUCAGGAAUGUCUGACAAAUGAAGACUUACCAUUCUUUUAGGAUGAACACUCAGUAUAUUCCAAGACCAUUUCAAAUAAUACAGUGAAACCAAAUGGCGAGCAAGGCGUCUGUCAUAAGCUUCAUCACGUGGAUCCAACAUCAGAAAGAUCAAGUCAAAUCUGAAUGGGACAGGAUCCAGCAUUAGUGUGCRUAUCUUCUUGUCAUUUAGCAUAUGCCAUUGUCACUAAGAACCAGAGCACCUGUCUGAAGAACCAGCUGCCGUGUUUCUGGA